GACAGCGGCCAUAGCGGCAGGGCAACUCCUGUACCCAUCCCGAACACAGAAGAUAAGCCUGCCAGCGUUGUAUACUGUACUAAAGUGCGAGAGCCUUUGGGAACUAUGCAUCGCUGCUGACU
rnacentral:rRNA from 1 species